GGUCUUGAUCUCUUGAAGUCAUGAUCUGCCCACCUUGGCCUCCCAAAGUGCUGGGAUUACAGGCAUGAGCCACCAUGCCUGGCCCUUUUUGUAAUAUUUUAUUGGCUGGGUCACACCACAUGCUCAUUCCUAAACCAGGCACUGGGAAAGCAAAUGUGAUUAGCUUAGAAUAAUCAUUUCUCUUUUGAAGCUGGGGAGGGGUAUUGGGAUAAUAAAUAUCCAAAUAGAUUUGUGUUUCUCCAGCAAGCAACAUAAGGAACUGCUCUUGGAUAGGGAGCCAGCAGUGUUUGCUCUAGAAAUUCAUUGGAAAAUCAUGAGUAGGGGAGGCAUUAGAUUAGAUUUGAGAAUUAGGGCACUCUGUUCAGGGUAUAAAGCAGGGAUUGGCACGCUUUUUCUGUAAAGGGCCAAGUAGGAAAUAUUUUAGCCCAUGUGGUCUGUCUGUCUCUGUUUCUCUCUCUUACUCUCUCUUUUCAAGAAUGAUUUAAGCAGCUGAAGGCCAUGUGUUCUCUGUUGUAGCUACUCAACCCUGCCAUUGUAGUGUGAAAGCAGUCAUAUGUAGCAUGUCAGUGAGUAGGCCCGACUGUACUCUCAUAAAACUUUAUUAAGAUAAAACAUAUGGUAGGCAGGAUUUGGCCUGUGGUCUGUAGUGUGCUGACCCCUUAUGUGGAGGAUCAAUGGAGGAUAGAUGUCACCUGGGAGCGUAUAGUUAUUACUGACUAGGUAUUUAUUAUGUUCAUGAGAUGACAUCCACCUUUAAAUGUGUGGUGAUGAGCACAAGCUUCUGAAAAAUGGAUAGGAUUUAGGGGAAGCAUGCAGAGUGAGUGAAACUUUGCCAGGCAAGGAGGCAGAGGGAUGAUGUUUUGCAGAAGGAAUAUCUAACAAGCUUGCAUGUUUGACAGAAACAACAGCUACGAAGCCUGCAAAUUUGUAAAAAGGAGAAGAAGGUGCAAAAGCAGAACACGACUUAAAAGUGGCUUCAGAGGAAGACCAAGAAAUACUUGAAAGAAGUGAAAACAGCCACAGGAUUUUCAAAGUUAUGGAAAAAAGAAGGAUGUGAUAUAUACAAAUUGCAUGUUGAAGGGAGAUAUUGCCACACUCAGAUGGGAAUUAUAUGUAAUAAAAAAUGACAGUCUCAAAAAGGAAAAGGAAUAUAUUCAGGAAAUUAAAAGUAUUAGGGAAAUAAAUGCUAACUUUGAAAAGAGUGCGAGACUCAAUGAGAAAAUGAUAACAAAAACAAUGUCCCAGUGUUGGCAACAGCUUAAUGACCUCAAAGCUGUGAAUACAAGGCUGAAUUCAAAAUUGGAGAAGGAAAAACACCGCACAGACAGACUGGAAGCUGAAGUUGAAUUCCUCCAUUCUAGACUGGCUGCUGCUAUAAAUGAGCACAAUGAAAGUGUAGUAACGAAAGACCUAGAACUCGUUUUACAGAGAGCAUGUAAUUUUUCUGUACAUAAAAAAAUGAGUUCUACUAUUUCUCAACUAAAAGAUAAACAUGAGUUGCUUACUGAACAAUUUUCUAAAGCUGGGAUGAAGUUAAAUACCUUAAAAGGUAAGCUCCAUGAGACAAGAGAUGCUCUCAGGGAAAAGACACUGGCUUUAGAAAGUGUGCAGAUGGACCAGAGGCAAGCACAGCAUUGAAUAAAGGAAAUGGAGCAGGUGCAUCCAAAUGAGGAAGCUAAACUAGUCAAUCCACCAGAAAGCACAACUGUGUAGAGGAGAGACUGUGUCAACUAGAAUGUGAAAAUCUCUUGCUUAAACAACAACUAGAGGGUGCUCAUAAGGAAGGCAAUGAUAAAGAGAUAGUAAUUAAUAUCCAAGGAGGCUGUCUUGAGAGUGGAAAGAAAGAUCUUCUUCUAGAAGAGAAAAAUAAGAAAUUAAUGAAUGAAUAUAAUUCUACAAAAGAAAAGCUGUUUCAGUAUGUAAAAGAAGAAGCAGAGGAGAAGUAUGAAGAAAGAUAAAUAUUUUUAACCUUCCAGAAAGAAAAUUUAAACAUUUCAUUGUGGCUAUAUGUUGAAUCUAGUUCAAUAUAAAAAUAGAUAGAUGAAAAUGUAUUUACCAUACUGUAUAAUUCCAUUUUGUGAAACAUCCAGAAAAGACAUAUAUAGGGACAGAAAGAAGAUGAAUGUUUGUGUAGGGCUGGCGCUGGAAAUGGGUCGUGACUGCUGAUGGGCAUGAGGGAUUGUCCUGGAGUCAUGAAAAUGUUCUAAAGCUGGAUUAUAGGGAUGGUUGCACAACUAGUAAAUUUACUAAAAAUCUUUGAACUGUAUGUUAAAACAGAUAAAUAUGUAGUAUGGAAAUCAUAUUUUAACAAAGCUGUUUUAAUAAAAAAAAAAAUGUGUUUACUAUAUCAGCUUGGAAACAUACCUUGUUUUCAGGAAAUAAAAGGUAGAGCUGACAGAUGCUUUCUUUGAGUAAAGACAUUGUCACCUAUGAAAUUGUAGUAGCUACAGUGUAAUGUUCAUAAGCUAUGUAGUCUUAUAUUGCUGAAAUAACAAAUUUAAUGUCUUUAUGUUGCCACAUUUUAAGACCAUAAUGAGGCAGAUAAAUGGAAAUGCUUGUACCUGAAAUAAGUAUUUUGAAAUUAAGAUUCAAUUAAAUGAGCCACUUUGACACUUAAUUCUAGAUUUCCCAGAUGAACUGAAGUAUGUUGCUGUGUCUUGUGGUGCUUUUCCUUCAGUGGUUUUAUGUAUUUUAGUUAGUAUAACUUUAUUUUGACUCAUAUUAAUGUGACUUAAGUCUGAAAAUAUGUCAGUCUCACAUUAUGUAUUUUUCUGACCACUUAAUAUUUGAAAGACAUCUACUUGUUAUAAAAUCACAAUUUGGAAUAAAUGUGGUAAAUUUUAGCAAAAAAUAUUUAAUGUUCCCACUGGUAGGUAUUUAUAAUUUACUUUGAAUAUUUUUAUUAAUAAUUAGCUCAUAAUUUACAUUUUAAGUCUCAAUGACUAUCAUUUGGAUAUAACUUUGUCCAAUACAAAGAUACUUGUAGCUGUCUGUGAUUUGUGAGUUUGACAUUGAAUCCCCAUUUUCAGAGUAAUGAGGGAUGGCAGAGUUCACGUAGAGUGGGAAUGAAGUACAUUGGGAGUACAAGAGGCUGGUGCAGCCAUUACUAUGGAGACAGACACACUGUGGGCCCAGGCACUGCCGGCAGGGACCUCGGCACAGAGAGUUGAAUUGGUCGCCCUCACUCAGGCCCUCCGAUGGGGUAAGGACAAAUGUAUUAACAUCUACACUGACACCAGGUAUGCUUUUGCUGCUGUACAUGUACUUGGAGCCAUCUAUCAAGAGUGAGGGCUACUCACCUCAGCAGGAAAGAAGCAAUUGUGGCCCUGCUUGAAGCUGUUUGGCUCCCUCAGCAGGUGGCUGUGAUUCACUGCAAAGGACAUCAAAGAAGCCGUGGUAACCAAAGAGCAGAUGCUGCAGCUCGGCUCCUGGUCGUGCCUUUAACCCUGCUGCCCCCUGUGUCCUUUCUGCGACCUGACUUGCCAGACCACCCAGAAUACCCCCCAGAGGAAGAAAAACAAGCUUCAGAUCUUCAGGCCAGUAAAAAUCAGGAAGAAGGAGUAAAAUUGGCCCAGCUUCUAAGGAGCCAUUUCAAGAUCCCCCACCUUCAGGACUUAACGAACCAAGCAGCUCUCCGGUGUAUGGCUUGUGCUCAGGUAAACGCCAAGCAAGGUAAGCCCAGCCCAGGUCACUACCACCAGGGAGGCUCGCCAGGAGAAAGGUAGGAAAUUUACUUUACGUAGAUAAAACUGCACCAGGCAGGAUAUAAAUACCUCCUGGUGCUAGUAGACACCUUUUCCGGAUAGACUGAGGCAUUUGCCACCAAAAAUGAAACUGCCACCACGGUAGUUAAGCUGUUGCUCAAUGAAACCAUCCCUCGACAUGGACUGCCUGUUGCCAUAAGGUCUGAUAAUGGACCUGCCUUCACCUCGUCCACAGCUCAGUUGGUUAACAAGGCAUUAAACAUUCAAUGGAAACUCCAUUGUGCCUAUCGACCCCAGAGCUCUGGAGAGGUAGAACGCAUGAACCGCACCCUAAAAAGUACCCUUACUAAAUUAAUCCUAGAGACCGGUGAGAAUUAGGUAAAGCUCCUUCCUUUAGCCCUCCUUAGAGUAAGAUACACCCCUUACUGGGCUGGGUUUUCACCUUUUGAAAUCAUGUAUGGAAGGGCUCUGCCUAUCUUGCCUAAGCUAAGGGGUACCCAUUUAGCAGAAAUCUCACAAGCUAAUUUGUUACAGUACCUGCAGCCUCUCCAACAAGUACAAGACAUCAUCCAGCCACUUGUCCGGGGAGCUCAUCCCAAUCCAGUUCCUGACCAGAUGAGGCCCUGCCACUCUUUCCAGCCUGGUGACCUGGUAUAUGUUAAAAAGUUCCAGAAGGAAGGACUCACUCCUGCCUGGAAAGGACCUCAUACUAUCAUCCUCACUACGCCAAUGGCUCUGAAGGUGGACGACAUUCCUGCUUGGAUUCAUCACUCUUGCACCAAAAAGGCCAACAAAGCCCAGCAAGAAACAAGGGUCCCCAAGCCUGGGCCAGGCCCCUUAAAAUUGCACCUAAGUCGAGUGAAGCCAUCAGAUUAAUUAUUUCCAUUUACCUCUUCUGUCUGUUUCCACCUGUUAUGUCCUCUGCCCCUUCCUACUCUUUUCUCCUCACUUCCUUCACAACAGUACGUGUCUUUGCAAACACCACCUGGAAAGUGGGAACAUCCAAGAAAGUCUCUUUUGUAGUCGAUUUAUGUGCUUUGUUCCCAGAACCUGCCCGUACCCACAAAGAACAGCACGAUCUGCUGAUCAUGGGAUCAGGGAACGUCGACAUUGCUGCAGGGUUCAGACACACCAGAAGCUGGACUGGAUGUGGAAGCUCUAAGGGUGCAGAAAAGGGGUCCAGAGCGUUGACUUUCACCUUCGUCCUGGAAAUCACUCUGACUCUAGCUGCCGAGAUUCUUACCAGUGUUUCUGCCCUCACUGGACGUGUAUAACCUUGCCACUUACUCUGGAGGAUCAACCCUACCCUCAACCCUUUCCAUAGCUCGCGCUUCCCAUCCUAGACCGUGUACUAUAGGGAAUUGCAAUCCUCUUACUGUGACUGUCGGUAACCCUAGUUUAGCUCAAUGGUAUUACGGCAUGUCACAGGGAUUAAGGCUUUAUAUUUUGGGAUUUGAUACUGGAACUAUGUUCACCAUCCAGAAAAAGGUCCUGGUCCCAUAGAGCCCUCCUAAGCCAAUCAGACCUUUAACUGAUUUGGUGACCCUGUGUUCCAAAAACACCCAGACAGGUCAAUUUAACUGUCCCACCAUCAUUCCUGCUUCCUAGACCUCAGCUGCAACGACGACACCUCCAACCCAGCCUGAAGUCCAUUCUGGACAGUGCUCUUCACCUCCUUAAUCUCACCCAGCCUGAACUAGCCCGAGAUUGCUGGUUGUGCCUAAAGGCCAAACCCCCAUAUUACGUUGGAUUAGGAGUAGAAGCCAUGCUAAAAAUUCUUUCUUGUCAUACGUGCCCCCAUGCCCUUACACUAGGAGACGUGUCAGGAAUGCCUCCUGUCUAACUAGCAGGGUAUAAUUUAUCUGCUUCUCCCUCUCAGGCUACCUGGAAUCAGUCCCUGCUUACUUCCUUAAACACCUCAGUCUCCUAUCAGGCACCCAACAAUACCUGGUUAGCCUGCACUUCAGGUCUCACUGCAUCAGUGGGACUGAACCCUGACCUGUGUGUGUUGGUUAAUGUACUCCCCCAGGUCUACGUGUACAGCGGGUCAGAAGGACAACAACUCAUCGCUCCUCCUGAAUUGCAUCCCAGGUUUUGCCAAGUCGCCCCACUCCUGGUACCCCUUGUGGCCGGCCUUAGCAUAGCUGGGUCAGCAGCCGUCGGCACGACUGCCCUGAUUCAAGGAGAAACUGGGCUAUUGUCCCCAUCUCAACAAGUAGAUGAUGAUUUAAGCCAUCUCCAAUCAGCCAUAAAGAUACUGCAUGCCCAAGUAGAGUCUCUAGCGGAAGCAGUUCUUCAAAACCGCCGAGGCUUAGAUCUGCUAUUUCUCUCCCAAGGAGGGUUAUGUGCAGCUUUGGGAGAAAGUUGUUUCCACACCAAUCAGUCUGAAGUCAUAAAAAAUACUCUUCAAAAAGUUCGAGAAAAUCUAGGUAAAUGCCAGCAGGAACAGGAGAGUAACACCCCCUGGUACCAAAGCAUGUUUAACUGGAAUCCCUGGCUAACUAAUUACUGGGUUGGCGGGAGCCCUUCUCCUCUUGUUAAGGUUAGUCUUCCGGCCUUGUCUAUUAAACUGGUUGCUUUAUAAAGCAGCACAUAGCUUCUGUGAAACUUGUGUAUCUAAGAACCCAAUAUAACCCCCUUGUUAUAACCGAGGAAUCAAUGAUUUGAUUCCCCAAAAACACGAGUGGGAAAUGUGAUGCCCUACCUUGUUUUAACCUGAUUGACACUCUCAGCUGAAAGAGCCAGACAGACUCCAUUUUGGUUUCUCCGCUUGCAGCCCCUUGUCCCCCUCCCUUAAGGACAUAACUGGUACAACCUGACUCCAGGCACACCCAGGAGUGUGCUUACUGAUAAGAUACUGAGGCAAGCUGUGCCAGCGGCUCCUGGGAACACACUCGGUUGAUGGUACCCAAAGCCCCUGCAUUUGUCUCUUUAUGACAGUUUAAGCCCCUGAACCUGGAACUAUUUGUUUUCCUGUAACUGUUUCUGUAACCAUCUAUCUUUUAACUUUUUGCCUGUUCUGCUUCUGUAAAAAUUGCUUGAGACUCCCCCUCUCCUAUUUAGACCAAGAUAUAAAAAGAAAUCUAGCCCCUUCUUCAGGGCUGAAUUUUGAGCUCUAGCGGUCUCUCGGUCGCCAGCAAUAAAGGACUCCUGAAUUAGUCUCA